UACGUAGGGUGCGAGCGUUAAUCGGAAUUACUGGGCGUAAAGGGUGCGCAGGCGGAUAUGUAAGUUAGAUGUGAAAUCCCAGAGCUUAACUUUGGAAUAGCAUUUAAGACUGCGUGUCUAGAGUUUGUGAGAGGGGGGUAGAAUUCCAAGUGUAGCAGUGAAAUGCGUAGAGAUUUGGAGGAAUACCGAUGGCGAAGGCAGCCCCCUGGCAUAAAACUGACGCUCAUGCACGAAAGCGUGGGUAGCAAACAGG
rnacentral:rRNA from 1 species